GACGAACGCUGGCGGCGUGCUUAGCACAUGCAAGUCGAACGGAAAGGCCCUGCUUUUGUGGGGUGCUCGAGUGGCGAAGGGGGGAGUAACACGUGAGUAACCUGCCCUUGACUUUGGGAUAACUUCAGGAAACUGGGGCUAAAACCGGAUAGGAGCUCCUGCUGCAGGGGGGGGGUUGGAAAGUUUCGGCGGUGGGGGAUGGACUCGCGGCUUAUCAGCUUGUUGGUGGGGUAGUGGCUUACCAAGGCUUUGACGGGUAGCCGGCCUGAGAGGGUGACCGGCCACAUUGGGACUGAGAUACGGCCCAGACUCCUACGGGAGGCAGCAGUGGGGAAUAUUGCACAAUGGGCGGAAGCCUGAUGCAGCAACGCCGCGUGCGGGAUGACGGCCUUCGGGUUGUAAACCGCUUUCGCCUGUGACGAAGCGUGAGUGACGGUAAUGGGUAAAGAAGCACCGGCUAACUACGUG
rnacentral:rRNA from 1 species